rnacentral:rRNA from 1 species
AAUAUUGCACAAUGGUGGAAACCCUGAUGCAGCGACGCUGCUUGAGUGAAGAUGCAUUUCGGUGCGUAAAGCUCUAUCAGCAGGGAAGAAAAUGACGGUACCUGACUUAGAAGCCCCGGCUUACUACGUGCCAGCAGCCGCGGUAAUACGUAGGGGGCAAGUGUUCUCCGGAAUUCCUGGGUGAAAAGGGAGCGCAGACGGUAUGGCAAGUCUGAAGUGAAAUGUCGGGGCUCAACCCCGAAACUACUUUGGAAACUGUCAAACACGAGUGUCUGAGGGGUAAGCGGAAUUCCUAGUGUAGCGGUGAAAUGCGUAGAUAUUAGGAGGAACACCGGCGGCGAAGGCGGCUUACUGGACGAUAACUGACGUUGAGGCUCGAAAGCGUGGGGAGCAAACA